GACAGAGGGUGCAAACGUUGUUCGGAAUUACUGGGCGUAAAGCGUGCGUAGGUGGUUUGUUAAGUCUGCUGUGAAAGCCCCGGGCUCAACCUGGGAAUGGCAGUGGAUACUGGCAAGCUAGAGUGCGGUAGAGGGUAGUGGAAUUCCCGGUGUAGCGGUGAAAUGCGUAGAGAUCGGGAGGAACACCAGUGGCGAAGGCGGCUACCUGGACCAGCACUGACACUGAGGCACGAAAGCGUGGGGAGCAAACAGG
rnacentral:rRNA from 1 species